rnacentral:rRNA from 1 species
AUUGAACGCUGGCGGCAGGCUUAACACAUGCAAGUCGAGCGGAAACGAUGGUAGCUUGCUACCAGGCGUCGAGCGGCGGACGGGUGAGUAACACUUAGGAAUCUACCUAGUAGUGGGGGAUAGCUCGGGGAAACUCGAAUUAAUACCGCAUACGACCUACGGGAGAAAGGGGGCAGUUUACUGCUCUCGCUAUUAGAUGAGCCUAAGUCGGAUUAGCUAGAUGGUGGGGUAAAGGCCUACCAUGGCGACGAUCUGUAGCUGGUCUGAGAGGAUGAUCAGCCACACCGGGACUGAGACACGGCCCGGACUCCUACGGGAGGCAGCAGUGGGGAAUAUUGGACAAUGGGGGCAACCCUGAUCCAGCCAUGCCGCGUGUGUGAAGAAGGCCUUUUGGUUGUAAAGCACUUUAAGCAGUGAAGAAGACCAUAUGGUUAAUACCCAUAUGCGAUGACAUUAGCUGCAGAAUAAGCACCGGCUAACUCUGUGCCAGCAGCCGCGGUAAUACAGAGGGUGCAAGCGUUAAUCGGAAUUACUGGGCGUAAAGCGAGCGUAGGUGGCUUGAUAAGUCAGAUGUGAAAUCCCCGGGCUUAACCUGGGAACUGCAUCUGAUACUGUUAAGCUAGAGUAGGUGAGAGGGAAGUAGAAUUCCAGGUGUAGCGGUGAAAUGCGUAGAGAUCUGGAGGAAUACCGAUGGCGAAGGCAGCUUCCUGGCAUCAUACUGACACUGAGGCUCGAAAGCGUGGGUAGCAAACAGG